ACAGUUGCUGUCAUCAGUCCUCUGCUCUGCAGUCCUCUUUUUGUGCCUCCAACAUGCACAUCAAAAAAGGCUGCUGAAGAUAUGAUGCAGUCUCCUACUCUCUCUGUUUAAAAGCUGUUUUAUUGAUAGCUAUUUUAUAGUAAUAUGUCAGAUACUAAGUAUCUGUUAAGCUGACAAGGGCUGUUUUCAGCUGUCCUGAUGGUGCCUGGGGUGUAGAUGCUGGUGGCAAAGCAGGCAAAGUGACACAAGCUGUUCUCCAUGUCCAGCAGGAAGAUUUUGGUAUAAAAAGAAAUAAAUGAGAAUUAACCAAGAAGGUAAUUUUUCAGAAGUUCUGAAAUAUCACUGCUUUCAGUAUAAAAUUCUAUUUAAAUCUGUUGAAAGCACCUGAAAGGAAUUAUUGGUCCAAUUCAUCAUCCCCAGAGGUGAUUACAAGCAGCAUGCUGUGGCAGGAACUCUGUUUAUAGCCAGAAGAAGGUUCAGGAGCCUGACUGAGGAGCUCAAUUUAGGUGAGUUAUAUGAAAGGU
rnacentral:lncRNA from 1 species